rnacentral:lncRNA from 1 species
GGGCGGACGCCGAGGAAGGUGGCGCCCGCGCCCAUCCGCCGCCCGGGCCCAGUCCUCGCCCCAAGCUCGCUGGCGCCAGGGGGACGAGGACGCACGAAUCCCUUCGCGCCCCGCGCCGUCGGCCCCGCCGUCCCAGACCCAGACGCGGCGCCCAGAGGCCGCCCAGGGCGGGGGCGGCGACCGGCAGCAGCUUAACCCCUGGCCCCGGCGCCGUCACCUCCGUCCCUAGGCUCUGUCGCGCCCAAGCCCCGGGUUCCUGCAGCCUAGGAAGACGCGCGGAGGACGGCGCGGUCUGGAGAGAGGGCGCCAAAGGCGACGCGCCGGCGGCCAGCUCCGCGCCAAGCCCAGUGCGUCUGCGGGAACCGGCCCCUUCAUGCGGCGCGGGACGCAGAGCCGAGCGAGGAUCUUCUUCAGCGCGGACUCAACGCCAGGGCGCCGCCUAGAGGUCGGCGGCGGCCUCGGUCUCAUUCGUCAGCGGACCGCAGAAGCUUCUUCCCCAGCCGGGGCCAGAAACGGAGAGGGCGAAUCCAGCUCAGGUCUCAGGAACACGGCUUCUGGCAUCUUUGACUUGCCUGAGACAAGCUCUUAAUGAACCCUAGGAAGGGACGCGGGCCUGGAAGGCUCAGAAAUAUUUAUUCUUGUGGCUCUCACGAAAUGGAAGGAGGGUCUCAAUUUCAGUCUCUUUGAGGACCUGUCUUGUACAUCUGUCUACACUGCCUCCUCUCACCACCCAAAUUGUCCAGCCCCUUCCAGUUAUGCUAGAACUCUGCUCUGUCUUCAAGGAGGGAAGGAAGUUGCCCCUAAAUCUUACAGCUUGAUCUGCUACAGUUUCAAUUUCCCGAAUAUUUCGAAAUAAUUUGAAGGACAUCCUUUUGGGAAAGUGUUCAGAAAACUUUUGAGAGGCAAAGGAACAUUGCCUUCAUGGCCUUUACGCACUGUGUGACCAUCAACUGGUGUCUGAGUGACAUUCAGGGACUUGCUUGUUGGCACCAGCGCCCCUAUUGGACAUUAGGGGAUGCAAACCGUUUGAAGUUCAUCAACACGGUGAAGUUUUAUUGUAUUUCCGGUCCCCAAGAUUUAUACCCGGGAGGGGGAGCGGGCGGCCCCGCAGACCCCUGCGCUCCCUCGGACAUCCCCGCCGGACACGUGGCUGCUGGGACCCUCGCCUCCGGGGCGAGGCCGGGAGGGAGCCGGGCCGGACGGGAUGGGACCGCUCGCUCCGCGCCUCCCGCCCCUUCCGACGGCCGCUCCUGCCCAGCGCCGCCGCCGCCGCCGCCCAGGUAA